rnacentral:tRNA from 1 species
GCCAGCAUGGCAUAGUGGUUUGAGCAUUGGAUUAUGACUCUGGAAACCAGGGUUUGAAUCCCAGUUCAGCCA